rnacentral:rRNA from 1 species
AACGAACGCUGGCGGCAUGCCUAACACAUGCAAGUCGAACGAGACCUUCGGGUCUAGUGGCGCACGGGUGCGUAACGCGUGGGAACCUGCCCUUAGGUUCGGAAUAACUUCCCGAAAGGGGUGCUAAUACCGGAUAAUGUCUUCGGACCAAAGAUUUAUUGCCCUUGGAUGGGCCCGCGUUGGAUUAGCUAGUUGGUAGGGUAAAAGCCUACCAAGGCGACGAUUCAUAGCUGGUCUGAGAGGAUGAUCAGCCACACUGGGACUGAGACACGGCCCAGACUCCUACGGGAGGCAGCAGUGGGGAAUAUUGGACAGUGGGCGAAAGCCUGAUCCAGCAAUGCCGCGUGAGUGAUGAAGGCCUUAAAGUUGUAAAGCUCUAUUACCCGGGAUGAUCAUGACAGUACCGAGAGAAUAAGCUCCGGCUAACUCCGUG